rnacentral:lncRNA from 1 species
GCUGUUCAAACUCAUAAAUCCAUGGACAAAAAACAAAAUCGGGGUAACAAACUACAACUGAGGAAAACGUAUUAAAUAUAAGAGGAGAACAACGACACAACACUACAAUGUUACACACACAGAAACGGACCAAGCAUCAGAAAAAAUCCCCCGAGAAUAACAAAUAUAACAUCAAAACCAAAUACGUGAAUUUGGGAUAGACAAGUACCGUGACACGUCUUAUCGCAAUGUGAAUUUACACUCAAAAAUAAGAGAAAACAAACAACGCAACGUUAAAAUGUAACACGCAC